UCGAGCGAUGCACAGGUUAUCCGGGAUGGUGCCCUAGCGGCGAACGGGUGAGUAACACGUGGGCAACCUGCCCUCAGCUCUGGGAUAACUCCAAGAAAUUGGUGCUAAUACCGGAUGUGACCGCUGACCGCAUGGUCUGGUGGUGGAAAGAUUCAUCGGCUGAGGAUGGGCCCGCGGCCUAUCAGCUUGUUGGUGGGGUGAUGGCCCACCAAGGCGACGACGGGUAGCCGGCCUGAUAGGGUGACCGGCCACACUGGGACUGAGACACGGCCCAGACUCCUACGGGAGGCAGCAGUGGGGAAUAUUGCGCAAUGGGCGGAAGCCUGACGCAGCGACGCCGCGUGAGGGAUGACGGCCUUCGGGUUGUAAACCUCUUUCAGUAGGGACGAAGCCGAAGUGACGGUACCUACAGAAGAAGCACCGGCCAACUACGUGCCCAGCAGCCGCGGUUAUACGUAGGGUGCAAGCGUUGUCCGGAAUUAUUGGGCGUAAAGAGCUCGUAGGCGGUCUGUCGCGUCGGCUGUGAAAACCCGAGGCUCAACCUCGGGCCUGCAGUCGAUACGGGCAAACUAGAGUACUGCAGGGGAGACUGGAAUUCCUGGUGUAGCGGUGAAAUGCGCAGAUAUCAGGAGGAACACCGUUGGCGAAGGCGGGUCUCUGGGCAGUAACUGACGCUGAGGAGCGAAAGCGUGGGGAGCGAACAGGAUUAGAUACCCUGGUAGUCCACGCCGUAAACGUUGGGCGCUAGGUGUGGGGGCCAUUCCACGGUCUCCGUGCCGCAGCUAACGCAUUAAGCGCCCCGCCUGGGGAGUACGGCCGCAAGGCUAAAACUCAAAGGAAUUGACGGGGGCCCGCACAAGCGGCGGAGCAUGUUGCUUAAUUCGAUGCAACGCGAAGAACCUUACCUAGGCUUGACAUGCACGGAAAUCUCGUAUAUAUACGGGGUGCCUUUGGCGUCGUGCACAGGUGGUGCAUGGUUGUCGUCAGCUCGUGUCGUGAGAUGUUGGGUUAAGUCCCGCAACGAGCGCAACCCUCGUUCUAUGUUGCCAGCACGUGAUGGUGGGGACUCAUAGGAGACUGCCGGGGUCAACUCGGAGGAAGGUGGGGAUGACGUCAAAUCAUCAUGCCCCUUAUGUCUAGGGCUGCAAACAUGCUACAAUGGCCGGUACAAAGGGCUGCGAUACCGCGAGGUGGAGCGAAUCCCAAAAAGCCGGUCUCAGUUCGGAUUGGGGUCUGCAACUCGACCCCAUGAAGUUGGAGUCGCUAGUAAUCGCAGAUCAGCUACCCUUGGGUGAAUACGUUCCCGGGCCUUGUACACACCGGCCCGUCACGUCAC
rnacentral:rRNA from 1 species